rnacentral:lncRNA from 1 species
GGAACGGAUCAUGCAAAUUCUUUACAAAAAACAAAAUUAAGUAAUCGGCUAAAAUAAACCACUGUAAACGAGAACAGCCGGAAUGGUUGGUGGUGCAAUUGAUGUCAUCGAUAGAGGCAGCGACUGAGGACUGGCAUUGGGCAACUGCGAUUUGAAUCGCAAUGGCGUACUGGGCGAAAAAACCAAAUUGAAGUUGGCUACGUCUUUGGCCGACUACCAACUAACCCCACUGCUUUCCUCUCGCUUUCGAUCUCUCUCUCUCUCUCUGUCCGUUACCCGUUUGUGGUUUUACUGUUUCCCAGGCUUUUUUCAACGGUCGUUGGCUCCAGUGGCCUUCUCAUGCCCGUUGCCUGUUGCGGCUACUUGGUCUUCGCGUUCCCCCGCCGAAUUUUGCUUCCCUCUGGUUUAUGGUCAUCCUCCGUGUUUCUCUUUGUUUUGCGGACACAUGCCAGCCUCCGGCAGCCGCGCUUUUUUUUGGCAUCCUCCUCAUCCUGCCACUUUCGGCGCGGUUUAUGGUCCGCCAUUUGGCGUUUGGCCGCCUGCCGCCAGCCUCGGGCUUUAAUUUAGGGGUUCCACACACUCGUAUGUCCGUGGCUUCCUCACGCUGACUUCUUUGCGGUCUCUUCAGGGAUAGAGAGCCGAUUGAGGCCAUCCCAGACCUCUGAGUGCAUAUAGUUUUAAAAUCCAGAUUAAAAACCAUUUCAAAAUUCGAAAAUGUGGCAUAUCCCGAAAAAUGUGAAAUGUUUC